rnacentral:rRNA from 1 species
UGCAGCAACGCCGCGUGAGGGAUGACGGCCUUCGGGUUGUAAACCUCUUUUAGUAGGGAAGAAGGGAGCUUCGGUUCUUGACGGUACCUGCAGAAAAAGCACCGGCUAACUACGUGCCAGCAGCCGCGGUAAUACGUAGGGUGCAAGCGUUGUCCGGAAUUAUUGGGCGUAAAGAGCUCGUAGGCGGUUUGUCGCGUCUGCUGUGAAAUCCCGAGGCUCAACCUCGGGCUUGCAGUGGGUACGGGCAGACUAGAGUGCGGUAGGGGAGAUUGGAAUUCCUGGUGUAGCGGUGGAAUGCGCAGAUAUCAGGAGGAACACCGAUGGCGAAGGCAGAUCUCUGGGCCGUAACUGACGCUGAGGAGCGAAAGCAUGGGGAGCGAACAGGAUUAGAUACCCUGGUAGUCCAUGCCGUAAACGUUGGGCGCUAGAUGUAGGGACCUUUCCACGGUUUCUGUGUCGUAGCUAACGCAUUAAGCGCCCCGCCUGGGGAGUACGGCCGCAAGGCUAAAACUCAAAGGAAUUGACGGGGGCCCGCACAAGCGGCGGAGCAUGCGGAUUAAUUCGAUGCAACGCGAAGAACCUUACCAAGGCUUGACAUACACCGGAAACGGCCAGAGAUGGUCGCCC